AGUCUGAGAGGACAUCUAUGGAAGGCUUUGUACUCUCACAAGUUGCAGAGACACAUACUGAAAUUUUUGUCUCGUCUUCUUCUUCUGCACUUGGUGCAGCAGGUUCUUUAAAACAACUAGCUUUGGUAUCUGCCGAUAAACCUUUCCCAUUGGCAUCAAUGGAGAUAUUAUCUAAAAGCUCCUCAUUCUGUUUCUCUACCUCAAUGUUUCUGGCAGAAGCUUCAUCCAAUGAAAUGCACAAUUUUUGAUGGACUGGCUCAGAUGAUUGGUCAUCAACUUCUGUGGAAGGACCCGAUGAAACAUCUCCUGAAUCAGCGUUUCCUAAACUUGCACCGGAAGGAGAGGAGGGCAUUGAUUUUGUGCUCGAUUCAGGCAGCUUCUUCUCCACAUUGCAUUGGACAGAUGUAGCCUCCUUAGUGGAGAUUUGAAUAUCUGAUCCACAAUCAGCACUUUCUGUUCUAACCAAAGCACUAUCACUUAAAUCGACAGGUGUAGAUGGAGAAUCAGAAGCACCAACACCGUCAUCAACUUUUU
rnacentral:misc_RNA from 1 species